AGCUCCAAUAGCGUAUAUUAAAGUUGUUGCGGUUAAAAAGCUCGUAGUUGGAUUCCUGUAUGGAAGGAGUGUCCCUAUCCUUUGGAUGGGGGUUGCUGCCUUCUUUGCAUCUUCCGGAGUAGGUGUUCCUCACUUAACUGUGAGGACAUUCGUACUCUGGGCAUUUACUUUGAGGAAAAGAGAGUGCUCCAAGCAGGCAACCGCCUGAAUACGUUAGCAUGGAAUAAUAGCAUCGGAUCAUCGUACAGCUGCUGGUGCCUGAGCGAGGAUAAAGGUGAACAGGGAUUGUUGGGGGCAUUCGUAUUUAACUGUCAGAGGUGAAAUUCUUGGAUUUGUUGAAGACGAGCUACUGCGAAAGCAUUUGCCAAAGAUGUUCUCAUUGAUCAAGAACGAAAGUACG
rnacentral:rRNA from 1 species